rnacentral:rRNA from 1 species
UGACGCUGGCGGCAGGCCUACACAUGCAAGUCGAGCGGAUGAAGGGAGCUUGCUCCUGGAUUCAGCGGCGGACGGGUGAGUAAUGCCUAGGAAUCUGCCUGGUAGUGGGGGAUAACGUUCCGAAAGGAACGCUAAUACCGCAUACGUCCUACGGGAGAAAGCAGGGGACCUUCGGGCCUUGCGCUAUCAGAUGAGCCUAGGUCGGAUUAGCUAGUUGGUGAGGUAAUGGCUCACCAAGGCGACGAUCCGUAACUGGUCUGAGAGGAUGAUCAGUCACACUGGAACUGAGACACGGUCCAGACUCCUACGGGAGGCAGCAGUGGGGAAUAUUGGACAAUGGGCGAAAGCCUGAUCCAGCCAUGCCGCGUGUGUGAAGAAGGUCUUCGGAUUGUAAAGCACUUUAAGUUGGGAGGAAGGGCUGUAGGCUAAUAUCCUGCAGUUUUGACGUUACCAACAGAAUAAGCACCGGCUAACUUCGUGCCAGCAGCCGCGGUAAUACGAAGGGUGCAAGCGUUAAUCGGAAUUACUGGGCGUAAAGCGCGCGUACGUGGAUCGUUAACUUGAAUGCC